GACGAACGCUGGCGGCGUGCUUAACACAUGCAAGUCGAACGGGCUGCCUGGUUUUCGGAUCGGGUGGUGAGUGGCGAACGGGUGAGUAACACGUGAGUAACCUGCCCCUCUCUUUGGGAUAACGUCGGGAAAUCGGCGCUAAUACCGGGUAUUCUGGCUUCCUCGCAUGGGGUUGUUGGGAAAGGUUUUUUCUGGUGGGGGAUGGGCUCGCGGCCUAUCAGCUUGUUGGUGGGGUGAUGGCCUACCAAGGCGGUGACGGGUAGCCGGCCUGAGAGGGUGUCCGGCCACACUGGGACUGAGACACGGCCCAGACUCCUACGGGAGGCAGCAGUGGGGAAUAUUGCACAAUGGGCGGAAGCCUGAUGCAGCGACGCCGCGUGGGGGAUGACGGCCUUCGGGUUGUAAACCUCUUUCAGUGCAGAACAAGGCUCUUUGUGGGUUGAGGGUAUGCGCAGAAGAAGCGCCGGCUAACUACGUG
rnacentral:rRNA from 1 species